AACGCACAUUGCGCCCUUCGGUAUUCCGUUGGGCAUGCCUGUUCGAGCGUCAUUUAAACCUUCAAGCUCUGCUUGGUGUUGGGUGUUUGUUCCGCCUCCGCGCGUGGACUCGCCUCAAAUCUAUUGGCAGCCGGUCAGUUGGCUUUCGCGCGCAGCACAUUGCGUAGCGGCUCCAGCUUGCCUCCUACCAUUAAGCUACUCUACAUCCUUUGACCUCGGAUCAGGUAGGGAUACCCGCUGAACUUAA
rnacentral:misc_RNA from 1 species